rnacentral:rRNA from 1 species
GAGAGAUGGGCCCGCGUCCAAUUAGCUAGUUGGUGGUGUAACGGACCACCAAGGCGACGAUUCGUAGCCGGCCUGAGAGGUUGAUCGGCCACAUUGGGACUGAGACACGGACCAGACUCCUACGGGAGGCAGCAGUGAGGAAUAUUGCGCAAUGGGGGCAACCCUGACGCAGCGACGCCGCGUGGAUGAUGAAGGCCCUCGGGUCGUAAAAUCCUGUCAGAUGGGAAGAAGAAGUGACGGUACCUGUUGAAUAAGCCCCGGCUAACUACGUGCCAGCAGCCGCGGUAAUACGUAGGGGGCGAGCGUUGUCCGGAGUUACUGGGCGUAAAGAGCGUGUAGGCGGUUGGAAAAGUCAGGUGUGAAAUUCUUCGGCUCAACCGGGGGACUGCGCCUGAAACUUUCCGACUGGAGUUUGGGAGGGGCAACUGGAAUUCCUGGUGUAACGGUGAAAUGUGUAGAUAUCAGGAGGAACACCCGUGGCGAAGGCGGGUUGCUGGACCAAAACUGACGCUGAGACGCGAAAGCGUGGGUAGCAAACAGGAUUAGAUACCCUGGUAGUCCACGCUGUAAACGAUGGAUACUAGGUGUGGGAGGUAUCGACCCCUUCCGUGCCGCAGUAAACGCAAUAAGUAUCCCGCCUGGGGAGUACGGCCGCAAGGUUGAAACUCAAAGGAAUUGACGGGGGCCCGCACAAGCGGUGGAGUAUGUGGUUUAAUUCGAAGCAACGCGAAGAACCUUACCAGGGCUUGACAUCCCGUGAUUAAGAGAUUAGGGGGUGCCUGCUUGCAGGAGCCCAGACACAGGUGGUGCAUGGUUGUCGUCAGCUCGUGUCGUGAGAUGUUGGGUUAAGUCCCGCAACGAGCGCAACCCUUAUUGCUAGUUGCCAUCAUUAAGUUGGGCACUCUAGUGAGACUGCCGGAGACAAUUCGGAGGAAGGUGGGGAUGACGUCAAAUCAUCAUGCCCCUUAUGUUCUGGGCUACACACGUGCUACAAUGGGUGUAACAACGGGAAGCAAGCUCCGCGAGGUGGAGCAAAUCUCCAAAAAUAGUCCCAGUUCAGAUUGCAGGCUGAAACUCGCCUGCAUGAAGUCGGAAUUGCUAGUAAUGGCAGGUCAGAAUACUGCCGUGAAU